rnacentral:tRNA from 1 species
GCGCCAGUAGCUCAGUCGGAUAGAGCGUCGGUCUACGAAACCGAAGGUCACAGGUUCGAAUCCUGUCUGGCGCG